GCCUAAUACAUGCAAGUCGAGCGAAUGACAGAGAAGCUUGCUUCUCUUGAUUUAGCGGCGGACGGGUGAGUAACACGUGGGCAACCUACCUUAUAGAUGGGGAUAACUCCGGGAAACCGGGGCUAAUACCGAAUAACUCCAAGCACCUCCUGGUGCUUGGCUGAAAGACGGUUUCGGCUGUCACUAUAAGAUGGGCCCGCGGCGCAUUAGCUAGUUGGUAAGGUAACGGCUUACCAAGGCAACGAUGCGUAGCCGACCUGAGAGGGUGAUCGGCCACACUGGGACUGAGACACGGCCCAGACUCCUACGGGAGGCAGCAGUAGGGAAUCUUCCACAAUGGACGAAAGUCUGAUGGAGCAACGCCGCGUGAGUGAAGAAGGUUUUCGGAUCGUAAAACUCUGUUGUAAGGGAAGAACAAGUACGGUAGUAACUGGCCGUACCUUGACGGUACCUUAUUAGAAAGCCACGGCUAACUACGUGCCAGCAGCCGCGGUAAUACGUAGGUGGCAAGCGUUGUCCGGAUUUAUUGGGCGUAAAGCGAGCGCAGGCGGUUUCUUAAGUCUGAUGUGAAAGCCUUCGGCUCAACCGAAGAAGUGCAUCGGAAACUGGGAAACUUGAGUGCAGAAGAGGACAGUGGAACUCCAUGUGUAGCGGUGAAAUGCGUAGAUAUAUGGAAGAACACCAGUGGCGAAGGCGGCUGUCUGGUCUGUAACUGACGCUGAGGCUCGAAAGCAUGGGUAGCAAACAGGAUUAGAUACCCUGGUAGUCCACG
rnacentral:rRNA from 1 species